rnacentral:RNase_P_RNA from 1 species
UCAGUGGGUGGGGUGAUCGCUGGUGCUCGGGUUGGUCGGCUCCAUUGGUGCCGGUCGAUCUCGAACACUGGAGGAAAGUCCGGGCUCCACAGGGCAGGAUGGUCGAUAACGUCGACCGGCCGUGAGGUUAGGGAAAGUGCAGCAGAGAACAGACCGCCGAACGGUGGGUUCGCAAGGAUCCAUGCGUGGUAAGGGUGAAACGGUGCGGUAAGAGCGCACCAGCGGACGGGGUGACUCGUUCGGCUUGGUAAACCCCAUCCGGAGCUAGACCAAACAGGGUGGAUUGUCGAAGCGGCCCGCUUCGCCCGACAUCCGGGUAGGUCGCAAUUGAGGCGGCGAGCAAUCGUCGUGCACAGAUAAAUGGUCACCGGCGGAGGUUGUCGGUUCGCUCUCGGAGCGGGCGGAUGACCGAAGUUACAAAACCCGGCUUACAAACCCACUGAUUCG